AUAGUAUUGUUAAUGCCGAAGACCGUAGGUGCGUAUGCUUAAUUUCCUACCGAGGUAGCCAACAACGAAUAUUGUUGCCCUUGUGUGUCUUCGAAGAAAACCGCAAGGGUUUUUUAUUGAA
rnacentral:sRNA from 1 species